GACAGAGGUCCCGAGCGUUAGGCGGAAUCACUGGUCUUAAAGCGUGUGUAGGCGGCGGCCUAAGUACCUUGUGAAAUCCCACGGCUCACCCGUGGAACUGCUCGGUAUACUGGGUCGCUUGAGCCACUUAGGGGCUACCGGAACAAAUGGUGGAGCGGUGAAAUGCGUAGAUAUCAUUUGGAACGCCAAUGGUGAAAACAGGUAGCUGGGAGUGUGCUGACGCUGAGACACGAAAGCCAGGGGAGCAAACGGG
rnacentral:rRNA from 1 species